rnacentral:rRNA from 1 species
GAUGAACGCUGGCGGCGUGCCUAAUACAUGCAAGUCGAGCGAACAGACGAGGAGCUUGCUCCUCUGACGUUAGCGGCGGACGGGUGAGUAACACGUGGAUAACCUACCUAUAAGACUGGGAUAACUUCGGGAAGCCGGAGCUAAUACCGGAUAAUAUAUUGAACCGCAUGGUUCAAUAGUGAAAGACGGUUUUGCUGUCACUUAUAGAUGGAUCCGCGCCGCAUUAGCUAGUUGGUAAGGUAACGGCUUACCAAGGCGACGAUGCGUAGCCGACCUGAGGGGGUGAUCGGCCACACUGGAACUGAGACACGGUCCAGACUCCUACGGGAGGCAGCAGUAGGGAAUCUUCCGCAAUGGGCGAAAGCCUGACGGAGCAACGCCGCGUGAGUGAUGAAGGUCUUCGGAUCGUAAAACUCUGUUAUUAGGGAAGAACAAAUGUGUAAGUAACUAUGCACGUCUUGACGGUACCUAAUCAGAAAGCCACGGCUAACUACGUG